CCUACGGGGUGCUGCAGUGGGGAAUAUUGGACAAUGGGCGAAAGCCUGAUCCAGCCAUGCCGCGUGUGUGAAGAAGGCCUUCGGGUUGUAAAGCACUUUCAGUGGGGAAGAAAGCCUUGGGGCUAAUACCCUCAAGGAAGGACAUCACCCACAGAAGAAGCACCGGCUAACGCCGUGCCAGCAGCCGCGGUAAUACGGAGGGUGCGAGCGUUAAUCGGAAUUACUGGGCGUAAAGCGCGCGUAGGCGGUCUGAUAAGCCGGUUGUGAAAGCCCCGGGCUCAACCUGGGAACGGCAUUCGGAACUGUCAGGCUUGAGUGUAGGAGAGGAAGGUAGAAUUCCCGGUGUAGCGGUGAAAUGCGUAGAGAUCGGGAGGAAUACCAGUGGCGAAGGCGGCCUUCUGGACAGAGACUGACGCUGAGGUGCGAAAGCGUGGGUAGCAAACAGGAUUAGAUACCCGAGUAGUC
rnacentral:rRNA from 1 species